GCAUGAGUUAAGAGACAGAAUUUUGUACCCUGGGCAUGUUUAGGCAAGCCCCCUGUGCACAAUGACCUGAGUGGCAUUUGGCUGCCUCCUGUCUCUAUCACCAGCAGUGUUAAAAGGUUGGCUAGGGGUUUGUGCCCAGGGGAUUUGUGGAACAUACCUUCUACACCCUGGUGUUAGUGAACAGCCACUCUUAUUUGGUGUCUCCUUUAGCCUAGUUACAGAGCAGUAUUUCCCAUGCUGGGGAUGGUAGUCCCACCUCCCAACUUUGUCUCUAGCUGUCUUCAGGGCUUUCUCUCCCCUCGGGCAUGCUUCCCGUGGUUGAGGCAUGAACAGAUCUCCUGCCAGGGAACACAAGAUGAUUCAUUGGAACCAAUAACAUGAUCAGUGAAGCUACAGUAAAGAGAACAGUGGGCCAGUUUCCCAUGGCGUCUCCUCUUCUCAUUUACGUGGAUAUAGAUCCAGAUCCAGCAGAGAAUCAUUGUAUUUAUUCGAUUCCCAAAUAUUUCUUUUUUAACAUGUUAAUAUUCUGAAAUCACCUAGUAUAUUAAUAUUUCAAAUAAACUUGUUAGCCAUUCUUUUUUUUUUUUUCAAAAGACUUGUUAAAUCUAUGAGACGUCGUGCAAUUGAUGCUGUCUUAGAUUCCUCAGAUCCAACUGUGGCUUUAUAGCUUUUAGGUUUUACGAUUGCUAGUGAAUCUUAUCAUAGAUGAUACUAUAGAGACGUAGUUGCUUUGUAUUUUAGAGAAUUUAUCAGCUCUCAUCUUUUAGGCAGCCACAUCCAAGGUACUCUUCUGAAUGAUCCCUAGAUUGUUUCUCUAGAUUGUUUCAUGUACCUAUGAUGCUGUGGUUGGUGCCUCACGGACCUGUUUCCUUGGACAGAUGAGUAGAUGACAUUUGAUUAUUAACCUAAGAGUAGCCAACUUCAGGCAAGCCUUCAGUUCUUAUGAUGACCAGGCAUGACCGGUCUGCCCCCAAAUUCUUUAUGCUGAAGGGUAAUCAAAUCAACUGCCUCCAAAUUAUUUACACUGAAAGGUAAUCAGCUGAACCAAUCAUACCCUCUCUCUUUUCCAGUUCAAAGGGCAGGUCCUAUGGAAACAGCACAAGGCCAAAAACCAGGCAAUAAGCAAAAGAUGAUGUAAAGAGGAGAGUAGAAAGAGAAAUGAAAUAUCAGGUAAAACCAGAUAAGUACCUGAGCCUGACAGAACAACAGAAACUUUCUUCUGAGGUGGCAACCACUAGUAUGACCACCAGGUCAUUUGUAACAUUUUGGACUACCAUAGUGACAUGUGUCCUGAGUGACAUUCCAGUUCUCUGUGACUUCUGUGUGAAGAUUGUGCAAAUAUUCUGAAUGGUGCUUUUAGUUUCCAUGAAGCCCUUGGAAAUACUUCUCUUCCUUCCCUUUACUAUUUAUCCCUAAGCUAAGGCCUUAUCACCUGAGCUGUCUAGUUACAACUCCAGAGAAAGAAGAGUUUGAGUAAAUAGUAUAGUUAACAUACAUAAUGAAACAGAGUUAAAGUGAGGAAUACUAAUAUGUGCCCAAGAGUUUUUAUUCAGUCUCGGAACUCUUAAACAAUGGGUUAUAUCAUUAUGACAUGUUCUGGUUAGGGCAUGCAACACAACACUGGCCUAAGUCCAUCAACACUUUCUACCCAUAUCUUUGUUGCCUGUAACUGACAAUCAGGGUUAUAAAGUUUUGAUUUUCCCUCAGGCUAUUAACUAGAUACUAUUGUCCGAGAAUUUCAGAUUGGGUUCCUAAACAGAGAAUAAUAGGAGACAGGUGUCUUUACGUUUUAGAGAGAGUUGCUACAUCAAUCAGUGUUUUGCAAGAAAGAAAAAGCCACUUUAGGAGUUUGGAGUAGAAAGAGAUUUAGAGGUUUUUACAGACUUCACAACUGUUGGCAUGACAGGAGAAUAAUGUUCAAGAGGGCCACUAUUGAC
rnacentral:lncRNA from 1 species